rnacentral:rRNA from 1 species
AUUACUCCUACGGGAGGCAGCAGUGGGGAAUAUUGGACAAUGGGCGAAAGCCUGAUCUAGCCAUGCCGCGUGAGUGAUGAAGGCCCUAGGGUUGUAAAGCUCUUUCACCGGUGAAGAUAAUGACGGUAACCGGAGAAGAAGUCCCGGCUAACUUCGUGCCAGCAGCCGCGGUAAUAAU